CAUGUAGGCUGUCGAGUAAGUCAGAGGUGAAAUCCCACGGCUCAACCGUGGAACUGCCUUUGAUACUGCUCAACUUGAAUCCGGGAGAGGGUGGCGGAAUUCCAGGUGUAGGAGUGAAAUCCGUAGAUAUCUGGAGGAACAUCAGUGGCGAAGGCGGCCACCUGGACCGGUAUUGACGCUGAGAUGCGAAAGCGUGGGUAGCAAACA
rnacentral:rRNA from 1 species